UUUCGCAAUGCCCGAAAGGGUGAACGAGCGACGCCGCGUGCGGGAUGAAGGGUUUCGGCCUGUAAACCGCUUUUGUUUGGGAAGAAUGCCCAGGUCGUGAACUUGGGAGUGACGGUACCAGACGAAUAAGCCCCGGCUAACUCCGUGCCAGCAGCCGCGGUAAGACGGGGGGGGCAAGCGUUGUUCGGAAUUAUUGGGCGUAAAGGGCGCGUAGGCGGAUCGGCGGGUCCGGCGUGAAAUCUCCACCGCUCACCGGGGAGAGGUCGCUGGAAACUACCGGUCUGGAGUUCGGCAGAGGACCACGGAAUUCCAGGUGUAGCGGUGGAAUGCGUAGAUAUCUGGAAGAACACCGGUGGCGAAGGCGGUGGUCUGGCCUGUUACUGACGCUGAGGUGCGAAAGCUAGGGGAGCAAACGGGAUUAGAUACCCCGGUAGUCCUAGCCCUAAACGAUGGGCACUAAGUAGAGGGGUUUUAAUCUC
rnacentral:rRNA from 1 species